CGUCAACUUCUACGCAGGGGCCCCCCAAAACAUAGAAGUGGCACUGCGAAUGCACGAACUCUAACUUAAACUCAGGCGCACACUAAAUCAACUGGCUCCAGCCAGAUCGCAAACACCCGGGCUCUUGUUGCCUACACUGGACUACACAACUCCCCACCCAAAGGAGCCGCAAAAAACACGUAACAGCGAUUUGAUUCUUCAGCUGACAGCAAGAGGGUUUAUUGUACACGAGUUACACUUGGCCACAAGAGAACAGAACUAGUCCAGAAUGCCAAAGGUCCAGGGCAGAGGGCCAGCGGGACUGUUUUGGUUGUGAGGAAGGUAGUCAUUUUCCCAGCUGAUCUCGGCGAGGUGACAUUCCGGGUCUACUGAGACUUAUUACCGACAGCAGCAUACAGUCCAACCACUUGUUCCGGGCUUCAGCAUCCCUUACUUCUGCUCCCGCAGGCUUCGUGGGUGCACAAGAUGGUUUACUUGGACCUCUGCCUCAUCUUUCUUCUCUUGCGCUUCAGCCUGGAAAGGCAGGCACACAAACCGAGUUAAUUUUUUCCCCUUCCCACAUUUACCAUCUGCACUUCGUACAAAAUACGAUGAAAUUAAACAACACCAGCUCCGAUGAACCGUGCUUAAACGUCCCUCCACGCCAAACAUUUUCACAUUAAGUUUCUUCUAAACAUCCCACCCCAAGCUUUGCCCCUUUGCCCCAAUGUUAAGUCAAAAAAUUAACGUACCUGCGCAUUCUCUUCUUCCGCCACUAAAAGCCCGAUCAUGUGAGAAGACAAAAAAGAAUGUUAGCAGUAGGCCCGGGUAAGAACAUUACUCAGAAAACAGGUUUGACAAAGAAUCAAGAGUUGGUGCGGCACUGGCUCAAUUUUAGAUCCGAAUCUUGUUUUCCCACCUUCCUCCAGCUACGACUUAAGCCUGUACUCGGCUCUGUGAAAACCCGAAGCAAACCGUUUGCAAACCCGAUGAAGAACCAUGGCGGAGAUUCACUGCCUGAUUUUCCGCCUCACAAUUCCUUCCUACCGCCCAAGCUCACCACUUAUGAACCGCUCACCUUCGCUCUCAUGGCGCAGGAGUCUCUAGAAAGA
rnacentral:lncRNA from 1 species